CUCAGAAAACCUCCCUCCUUUGGAGAGUCCACCAUGGCCCCACCUCUGCUUUUCCUGGCUCUUCUCAGUUACUGUUCAGGUAAGGAGGCAAAGCGAUAAUCUUAUGUAAGUGCAAGAGAAAGAAGGAGAAGAAGAAUCUAAGAUGGUUAUCAAAGAAACAUAUUGCUCCUGCAGUAUUGGGGAGCACAGAGGAUCAAAGGAUUUGAUUUUCCUUUUUUGCAAGGUGUCACUUCACAGCCAGCCUUGACUCAGCCAGUCUCCCAGUCUGUGUCCCCAGGUGAAACUGAAACUCUCCUGCUCUCAAAAUAGUGGUGGUAGCUGGAGCAGGUUUCACUGGAAUCAACAGAUACCUGGGCAGGUUCCUCACUUUGUUCUCCAACAUCCAGGCUGAAGAUGAGGUAGUUUGUUACUGUGGUGCCUGAGAGUAUGAUAACAACAUGUUUCGCGGUGGUCCAGUCUGAUGGGGAACUGAGACAAAAACCUUUGCUCUUCCAAUCUGGAGUGAAGAAUGAAGAGCUCAUUUUCUCUGUGCCUUAAGAUCUUUCAAAGUCUCGAGCCAAAGGGCUUUGCACUCACUUCUCUGUGGCUGCCAUCUUACGCUGACAAUUAAGAAAAUAUCCUCCUCUAAUAGUUAGCUGAUCUCUGAUAUUAAAUGUUUAUGUUUUUACUGUAUGAUUUACAUCUGAUUGUUGCAGACUGCUGUGAUAUGUUUUUUCCUGAAUAGUGGGGUAUAAAUAUUUUUAAACAAAUAAAUAAUAUGGUAGGACUUACACACCCACCCAGCCAACCAACCAGCCAUGAGUGCACACAGUCUGUUGUGACGCCGGAGGGGACAAAUGAUGAAGAGGAAAGUUUCUCUGUCUUUUUCUGUCUGUUUCUGUAAAGGUGUCCAUUCACAGCCAGCAGUCAUUCAGCCAGACUCCCAGUCUGUGUCUCUGGGCCAGACGACUAAACUCCCCUGCUCCAAAAGUAGUGGGAGCUUGGACAGCUUUUACUGGUAUCAACAGAAACCCAGAGACGCUCCUCGUUUUGUGCUCUAUGGUGCCGACAAGAGGGGAGAAGGGAUCCCGGACCGCUUCACGGGCUCUUCCUCUGGGAACACUGGCUAUUUAACCAUCUCCAACAUCCAGGCUGAAGAUGAGGCCGUUUAUUUCUGUGUUGACUGGGAGCACACUGGUAGUAUCAUGU